GGGGGAAAUUGAAAGGCAAUUGAAAAGCAUUGAGCUCAAAAGUUGUGAAAGAAACAUACAUGAGAAAAAGAAAAGAAAAGAAGAAAAAGCAUGAAGAUGAGCUCAAUGAAAAAGAAAAGGGAAAAAGUUGGGAAUAAGUGAGAUUGAUGAAGAAGAGAGUUGUGCGUAAAUGUUGAAUACUAUGAUAGCUCUCUUAACUCAAGGACUUUGCAUUCCCAAAAAAACCAAUUCUUUUUGUUAUCCCAGCCUCAUUACAAGCCUUGGAAAAGUCCUU
rnacentral:lncRNA from 1 species